rnacentral:lncRNA from 1 species
UCUCCCACCCUACAGGAGGUAGAUUGGGAAGUGGAGCUGGCCGUGGUCAUUGGAAAGAAAGGCAAGCACAUCAAGGCCACAGAUGCCAUGGCCCACGUGGCCGGCUUCACUGUGGCUCAUGACGUGAGUGCUCGUGACUGGCUAACAAGAUGCAAUGGGAAACAGUGGCUGCUGGGAAAAACCUUCGACACCUUCUGCCCUCUGGGCCCUGCCUUGGUGACCAAGGACAGUGUAGCAGGUAGGUUCCUGAUCCCUGCCCCCUUGUACCUACCAUUGCACAGAUGAACAGCCCUCCAGGGAGGAGCACGGGUUCAGGUACAUGUGGCACCUGCCCUCCCUGGCUGCCCUUUCACUGCUGACUCCAUACAGGGAAAGUCUUUUAUCCUCAGCCACGAGUUCUCCCAUGGGCUUCCUUCCCAAG